rnacentral:rRNA from 1 species
GUGGUAAUGCCGGAUGCUCCAUCACACCGCAUGGUGUGUUGGGAAAGCCUUUGCGGCAUGGGAUGGGGUCGCGUCCUAUCAGCUUGAUGGCGGGGUAACGGCCCACCAUGGCUUCGACGGGUAGCCGGCCUGAGAGGGCGACCGGCCACAUUGGGACUGAGAUACGGCCCAGACUCCUACGGGAGGCAGCAGUGGGGAAUAUUGCACAAUGGGCGCAAGCCUGAUGCAGCGACGCCGCGUGAGGGAUGGAGGCCUUCGGGUUGUAAACCUCUUUUGUUAGGGAGCAAGGCACUUUGUGUUGAGUGUACCUUUCGAAUAAGCACCGGCUAACUACGUGCCAGCAGCCGCGGUAAUACGUAGGGUGCAAGCGUUAUCCGGAAUUAUUGGGCGUAAAGGGCUCGUAGGCGGUUCGUCGCGUCCGGUGUGAAAGUCCAUCGCUUAACGGUGGAUCCGCGCCGGGUACGGGCGGGCUUGAGUGCGGUAGGGGAGACUGGAAUUCCCGGUGUAACGGUGGAAUGUGUAGAUAUCGGGAAGAACACC